GAUGAACGCUGACAGAAUGCUUAACACAUGGAAGUCGAAUUGAAGCAACUUCGGUUGUGGAAAGUGGCGGACGGGUGAGUAACGCGUAAAGAACUUGCCCUUCAGUCUGGGACAACCAUUGGAAACGAUGGCUAAUACCGGAUAUUAUGGAACUCUCGCAUGGGAGGAUCAUGAAAGCUAUAUGCGCUGAAGGAGAGCUUUGCGUUCCAUUAGCUAGUUGGUGAGGUAACGGCUCACCAAGGCGACGAUGGAUAGCCGGCCUGAGAGGGUGAUCGGCCACAAGGGGACUGAGACACGGCCCUUACUCCUACGGGAGGCAGCAGUGGGGAAUAUUGGACAAUGGACCAAAAGUCUGAUCCAGCAAUUCUGUGUGCACGAUGAAGGUUUUCGGAUCGUAAAGUGCUUUCAGUUGGGAAGAAGAAAGUGACGGUACCAACAGAAGAAGCGACGGCUAAAUACGUGCCAGCAGCCGCGGUAAUACGUAUGUCGCAAGCGUUAUCCGGAUUUAUUGGGCGUAAAGCGCGUCUAGGCGGGUUCAUAAGUCUGAUGUUAAAAUGCGGGGCUCAACUCCGUAUUGCGUUGGAAACUGUGAACCUAGAGUAUCAGAGAGGUGGGCGGAACUACAAGUGUAGAGGUGAAAUUCGUAGAUAUUUGUAGGAAUGCCGAUGGAGAAGUCAGCUCACUGGAUGAAUACUGACGCUAAAGCGCGAAAGCGUGGGUAGCAAACAGG
rnacentral:rRNA from 1 species